ACUGGGUCGGGUGGGAUGGUGACUUCAACUUGUAUUUCAGCUGUGUUCGUUAUCCCAGAGCCUUUAUUGAUUUAAAUUAUCAAGCUAUAGUGUCUAAUAUAGCAGACGAGUCGAUUACUUUACGAUGAAUUGAUAAGAGAGCAGACGGGAGUUGUUUGCUGACCAACUGAGUGAAGAUUUGAAGUAAAACAAGAAGGAAUAACAUUGCUGCCAUCUUGUAACCCCAGGGAGGAAGACAGUGUUUACGGCCAACAACCAUCCAGAAAGUUAGCAUCAGCUACAACAGAAAACAGCCGCAACAAGAACACCUGCCGUUGAGUGGUGAUGAACCUGUCAUAGACGGCGCGCGUGGCCGCAUCACUCCCCCAGUUACUCCUCCGGGUAAUGACUCAGGUGGACGCCAUUGUGAUUACGGGAGGUGGUUGUCAAGAGUCCCGUUACUUAUACAGUAUACAAUAUAUUCUGGUGAUACAGCCUCGUGUACUUAUACAGUAUAUUCUGGUGAUACAGCCUCGUGUACUUAUACAGUAUACUCUGGUGAUACAGCAGGAAGGUUUUAAUCCUUCUGACUCAACAACAACAGAACGCCACCCUAACAACCACCACCGCCAGACAAGAUCAUCAUUGUACUACAAAAGUACACAAUGCUUGAUGAUGUAGGAGAUAUUGAAGAAGCUGUUGGUGAUAAUUAUGAAGUGGCAAUGGUGAGAUGACCUGGUGAAAUGAGAGGAGAUGAACACCCUCGUCCUCCCUGUGGUGAGAUGACCUGGUGAAAUGAGAGGAGAUGAACACCCUCGUCCUCCCUGUGGUGAGAUGACCUGGUGAAAUGAGAGGAGAUGAACACCUUCGUCCUCCCUGUGGUGAGAUGACCUGGUGAAAUGAGAGGAGAUGAACUCCCUCGUCCUCCCUGUGGUGAGAUGACCUGGUGAAAUGAGAGGAGAUGAACACCCUCGUCCUCCCUGUGGUGAGAUGACCUGGUGAAAUGAGAGGAGAUGAACACCUUCGUCCUCCCUGUGGUGA